rnacentral:lncRNA from 1 species
UCAAGGGAUGUGUGACUUGCGAAAUAAUUUAACUCAAUAUGAGUUUCAAGAGCAACAAGGGAAAUCAUCCAAACUUCACAUACGUAUCAAAGUCAAGUAACUUGGUAAACAAGCAAAGAUAUCAUCCUAGAAAAGGAAUCAUUUAUCAAAAUGCAACAAGAUAAACAAAGAUAAAAAGAGGGAUGCUUAUAGGUAAUGGUACAAUAAUAAAUUCCUCUUAAAAUAAUCAAACAC